GUUAUUGAAUAAUGAUAAUAUAAAUGACAUAAGUUUAGGAUUAGUGAAAGAUAAGUCUAUACAUAUAAAAGAAAAUGAAUAUGUAAAAAAAAAAUAUGAUUAUAUACUAUCGCCGGAAAGAGCCGAUCCAUUUAGUAACAAAUCACCGUCACCUGGUGAAAGGACAUAUACAGAUGUUAUGUUAGAGAUAAAAAAUGAAUCGAAAAAAAAUAAAAGAGUUGUUAAUAAUAACGUUUCAAGUAAUGAUAAUAAUGUUGCUAGUGACAGCCAUAUCAUUAAUAAUAAUGAUACUACUAAUAAUGACAAUAAUACUACGAUUACAAGUGUGAAAAGGAGGAAAAAAGAAAGAUGGGGAGAGAAGCUAACUGAUACUUCAGUAAGCAUUUACGACAAAGUAUAUGAAAAAGAGGGUACUACCACUGGUACGACUUUGAAUAAUAAAAAAAGUAAUCAUAGUAGUAAAUGGGAUUUCAAAACUGACGAAAAUGAAACGAGUUUUGGUGAUAUUCCUACACCUGCUCCGAAUAAAUGGGUUGACACGCCAUUUGUAAUAAAUAACGAAAAUAUUAUUAUUACAAAACAAAAAAAAAAAAAAUCAUCGAGAUGGGAUAAGGUAGGAACAGAAAUAAAACAACAUGAUGAUAAGACAUCGGUAAAUGAUAUAAAAACACCACUUGUGUCAGGAAUAGAUAAUAAUACUCCAUAUGUUAAUGAACAAGCAAAAGUAACACCAUAUAUAAGUGGAAACACAAUUGUAACACCCUAUAUAAGUGGACAAGCAAACACAUUGUACACACCCAUAACAUCCGGUAUGAACACUCCAUACAAUGAUACAUUUUUAAAAGCAAAAAUAAAAAACGAAAUGACUAUGCGAAAUAGACCAUUAACGGAUGAAGACCUAAAUCAGUUGUUACCUUCGGAAGGUUAUGAAAUAAUAAAACCACCAGAAGAAUAUGAAACAUUACGAAAUAACAAAUUAAAAACUAUGUUUAAAAAUAUGAAUGGUAAUAUGAUAACACCUAUGGUGUCGAAUACGAAUGACCUAACUAGGUUGAAUCAUAUGACUUCAAGUAGCAAUGUAUUAUUAAAUAAGGAUAAUAUAGUUAUGGGAGGAGGAAGUAGUAAUAAAUUGUUACAUACUAAUGAUACACAACAUAUGUUAAGUACUUAUAUAGAUGGUACACCUUUUUAUAACAUCCCAACUGUAAAUAACAAAUUAACUGAAGAAACAGUAGGUGAAGGUAACAAUACAUCAAUGUUAUUACAAAAUAAUACAAUGGAAAUUAAAAAUCCACAAUUAUUAUCAGAAUUAAAAUAUGUACAAAUUAAAACAGAG
rnacentral:lncRNA from 1 species